rnacentral:rRNA from 1 species
CCCUUAGAUGUUCUGGGCCGCACGCGCGCUACACUGAUGCCUUCAACGAGUCUAAAACCUGGUCUGAUAGGGCUGGGUAAUCUUUUGAAAGUGCAUCGUGAUUGGGAUAGAUGAUUGCAAUUCUUCAUCUUCAACGAGGAAUGCCUAGUAAACGCAAGUCAUCAGCUUGCAUUGAUUACGUCCCUGCCCUUUGUACACACCGCCCGUCGCUCCUACCGAUUGAAUGAUCCGAUGAAUACCAUGGAUUGAGAGUACGAAUGGGUUCGCUCAUUUCUGCUGCUCGAGAAGUGGAGUAAAUCUUAUCAUUUAGAGGAAGGAGAAGUCGUAACA